GGGGAGAUUCCAGAGUGGCCAAAUGGGACAGACUGUAAAUCUGUUGGCUCAUGCCUUCGUAGGUUCGAAUCCUGCUCUCCCCA
rnacentral:tRNA from 1 species